AACUAUUUCUUCUCUGCUCAAGUGUUCGAAAGGCUUUGAAAAUAUCAUUUUUAUCUUCUUCCCCUCCAAGUUCCCGGGUUAUUCCAUAAGAAUGCAGGAUGCGCGGUAUUUUUUCCUCAUGCUAAACAAACUUUACAGCAAUAUUACUACAAUUUCUACAUAGAGGCCUAUAGUAAUUCACUUGAAACGUUUCUCUGUGUGUAUAAUCGGAAUGUAUUCCUGGACUUUUAUAACGGCCCUGUCAUAAAAAAAAAAUAACUUGUAGGCCCUAUAAUUUUGAUAACAUGGAUUUCAGUGGUCUCAUUGCUCAUAACAUCAGGGUUAGCAAGAGCAGGUUAGGGACCACCAUGUUAGAGAAAAAAACAUAUACCGAAUUCCAUGCCAUACAGAUCAUACUGGGGGAAAAACACGAUUCAGUCAAAUAACAUGUUUACAUGUUGUUGGAAUGACUGAUAACCAGCAACUGUCCAGUCUCCGGGAUUACGUGACGGAGCAAGGGACAAACAUUUUCAUUAAUUGUACCUCGCUUGCAAAAUACAGAAAUAAUUGGGCGAUGGAGUCUGUCUGAGGAAGUAAAAAGGGGGUGGGGUGGUGCAGUGCAGGCCGGAUUAAAAACGCACAAAGGCUGUGUUGUUCUGUAUCAAAUCCCCGACUUAUCCACUGCACACUCUCUUUUCCUCUGUUUGAGCACAAAGUUCUCUUUUUAUUAUUGCCAUUAUCAUUAUUAUUAAUUGUUUGUAUUGUUGUUGUUGUUGCUGGUGACAUGUGCUGUUGCUUUAGACUAUAUUUUUCAUUUUAUUUAAACUGGACAGGGGCGUUAGGCCAUUCAAGUCCAUUUUAGUGAUGAAAAACACAACAAGUGAAUGUUUGAUCAGAAAGAUGUAGAAGAUAAACUGGAUAGAUAAAACAAAAAUCCAAAUGUAUAUUUAAAAUAUAUUCUGUCCCAAGUCUGGAGUCCUCCUUCCUUUGGUUGAAGUGGUUAACGAAUUAUUUUUUUUAUUAAUAAAUGGAUGAAAUCAGUUGGUGCUUUUCAGACGAUUUGCCUUGCCUGGCUAAUGCCUUGCGCAUACGCCAAGACAUUGCGUAGCUGAUCGGGAAGGUUUAUUCAAGACCCACCAGACCCCAGCAGGCAAGGGGUGUUGUAAUUCGCAGGCCAGUGUAAACAUGUUCGUUAAAUUUCUUUCUUUACUCUGUACACGGUGGUGUUGUCACUGUCCACUGGAUGAUUGUUGGCCUAUCCUCCUCCGGCCAGACCAUUUCACUGUGUCCAAAGCCGAUUCUCUGCGCCUGUUAAUUGAAUCGGAUUUCUUAUAGUUUAAAAUCCACACAGACCCAUGUACGGCCCAAACUGUAUAAGGGGUUUAUCUGAAUCUGUAAAGCCAAGGCGGAGAUAUAAAGAGAGAGAGACUAUAGCAGAGUGUAUUUGAACAUUUAAAUUCUCAAAUAAAUGUCCUCACCUGCUGCAUCUGCCGGUGCGCACAGACUGCGUGUGUUUUUGCGUUCUGCGGAUCUGUACAAAGACACAUCAGCGUUUGUUCACCUGUACAGAUGUGGUUUCUCUGGGUUGUGGAAAUGACAGCCUCCGUCUCUCCUCUCCAACAUGCAGAAGGAAGCCUUUGGAACAUUGUCAGGGUAGUUUGUGUGAGAGCUAAAAGAAAUGCUGCAAGCACAGAUGUUACAUAGUUGACAACAUUGUUGUCAAUUGUAUGUGAAUUUAACAUGGAAUUUUGUAUCUGUAUACUUUAUCUUCUUUAUUCAACAGUUGUUUUGCUUGUUUGGUGUAGAAGGUAAUUCAGAUAUAUUUUGCAUUAAAUAUAAAACAAUCGUUUGUGUAAUAGUGAACACUUUAACCUUCCGGGGUCGUUUCGGGCCUCUUCCAUCCCAUACCGCCAUGCUUUUUCCUUCUAGAGUUCCAGCACAAUCUCCCUCUCCACACACACCACCACCUCGAUGCCCGUUCUGAAUACCCCAACACCACCCUUAUCAUCCUGGUCUCUUCGGCCUCACUGUGAUUCUCCGGGUGACCAUCCUCACUCUCGUCCAUAUGAAUAUAAGGCAGUUCAAGUUCUACACUGGCGUUUAAGCGUAUAUAUCAUGUAUAAGCUAGCUGUGCGUAGGCUGUUUGAGAUGCAUGUUUAAGCGUAUAUAUCAUGUAUAAGCUAGCUGUGCGUAGGCUGUUUGAGAUGCAUGUUUGUUGACAAAGGAGUGUCCGUGGAGGUAAGUCCAGCUGAUUUAAAUGCUUUUAUUAGACUGCAUUAAUAGGCAUGUUUCUCUCAUGAUGAUUUCUCAUGAUGAGUUUAUUCAUAUUUCUGUGUUAGAAUUAUUUUAACAUUAUCCCACUAAAUAUCAAAAAUUGUCUGAGUAGACUAUAAUUCUGACCUGCUAUUUGUGUGAUAAAAAUAAAUAAAGUUAUCUUUAAACUA